UGAGGAAUAUUGGUCAAUGGACGGAAGUCUGAACCAGCCAAGUAGCGUGCAGGAUGACGGCCCUAUGGGUUGUAAACUGCUUUUGUAUGGGGAUAAAGUUAGGGACGUGUCCCUAUUUGCAGGUACCAUAUGAAUAAGGACCGGCUAAUUCCGUGCCAGCAGCCGCGGUAAUACGGAAGGUCCAGGCGUUAUCCGGAUUUAUUGGGUUUAAAGGGAGCGUAGGCCGUGGAUUAAGCGUGUUGUGAAAUGUAGACGCUCAACGUCUGAAUUGCAGCGCGAACUGGUUCACUUGAGUAUGCGCAACGUAGGCGGAAUUCGUCGUGUAGCGGUGAAAUGCUUAGAUAUGACGAAGAACUCCGAUUGCGAAGGCAGCUUGCGGGAGCACAACUGACGCUGAAGCUCGAAGGUGCGGGUAUCAAACAGGAUUAGAUACCCUGGUAGUCCGCACAGUAAACGAUGGAUGCCCGUUGUUAGUUCACUUAGGAAUUAGCGACCAAGCGAAAGCAUUAAGCAUCCCACCUGGGGAGUACGCCGGCAACGGUG
rnacentral:rRNA from 1 species